UUAGAACCCAAUCUACCGUACUGCUGGUUAAAAUCAUUCGACUGAAAAUUAAUUCACCAAUGUUAUUAUUUUUACUGUUACUUAAAAAAUAAAUGUGAUAAAAACCCAUAGGAAGUUACAACUGUGUCGGGGACUCCAUUUUUUGUAUACCAAUCGUAAAAGUAAAUAAACACACUGAUUAAUUGACGGUUGAGUAGUUUUAAAAGUAUAAGGAAAAUGUCAAGUUAAGUCGGGUCAGAAUAUCAAUUGUUGUUAAGAAACCGUUUAAUAAAAAAAGUAUAAGCAAUACACUAUGCGGUUGCAAUCCAUAUACACAUGUACAUAAUAAAUGCCGUCGCAAGUUUAAUAUUUCACCAUUCUUAACUGAAAGAAAGGAAUGGCUAUAUUUCCGCGUUAGCUGACUUCCGUACCAAUGCUUGAUAUUUUUUUAAUUCAUUAUUGUAUUUGAAUGAUAACCCUAUAUAUACCAAAUUAUUAGAGCAAAUGCAGUUACUUAUAGUUUAAAACACGC
rnacentral:lncRNA from 1 species